rnacentral:rRNA from 1 species
AGUCUGGUGCCAGCAGCCGCGGUAAUUCCAGCUCCAAUAGCGUAUAUUAAAGUUGUUGUGGUUAAAAAGCUCGUAGUUGGAUCUCAGUUCGAGUCAGGCGGUCCACUUGCCAGUGGCUACUGCCUGACUGAACACUUUACCGAGUUGUCCUAUGGUGUUCUUCACCGAGCGUCAUAGACGAUCGGUACGUUUACUUUGAAAAAAUUAGAGUGCUCAAAGCAGGCGUAACGCCCGAAUAAUGUUGCAUGGAAUAAUGGAAUAGGACCUCGGUUCUAUUUUGUUGGUCUUCGGAAUCAGAGGUAAUGAUCAAUAGGGACAGACGGGGACAUUCGUAUUGCGGCGCUAGAGGUGAAAUUCUUGGACCGUCGCAAGACGAACUAAAGCGAAAGCAUUCGUCAAGAAUGUUUUCAUUAAUCAAGAACGAAAGUUAGAGGUUCGAAGGCGAUCAGAUACCGCCCUAGCUCUAACCAUAAACGAUGCCAACCAGUAAUUCGUCUGAGUUCCUUAAAUGACUCGACAAGGGACUUCCGGGAAACCAAAGUCUUUCGGUUCCAGGGGAAGUAUGGUUGCAAAGCUGAAACUUAAAGAAAUUGACGGAAGGGCACCACCAGGAGUGGAGCCUGCGGCUUAAUUUGACCCAACACGGGAGAACUCACCCGGCCCGGACACUGGAAGGAUUGACAGAUUGAGAGCUCUUUCUUGAUUCAGUGGGUGGUGGUGCAUGGCCGUUCUUAGUUGGUGGAGUGAUUUGUCUGGUUAAUUCCGAUAACGAACGAGACUCUAGCCUACUAAAUAGAUCGUCGGCUUACAAACGCCGGCGAGACUUCUUAGAGGGACAGGCGGUGAUUCAACCGCACGAAACAGAGCAAUAACAGGUCUGUGACCCCUUAGAUGUCCGGGGCCGCACGCGCGCUACACUGAAGUGAUCAGCGUGCUUUUUCAACCUACUCUGUCAAGAGUGGGGAACCCAAUGAACCUUCUUCGUGAUUGGGAUAGGGGAUUGUAAUUAUUCCCCUUGAACGAGGAAUUCCCAGUAAGCGCGAGUCAUAAGCUCGCGUUGAUUACGUCCCUGCCCUUUGCACACACCGCCCGUCGCUACUACCGAUUGAAUGUUUUAGUGAGGUCUUCGGACUGGCCGGCGCAGCACUCUCGUAGUGCAGCGCUGUGUUUGGAAAGAUGCCCAAACUUGAACAUUUAGAGGAAGUAAAAGU